rnacentral:lncRNA from 1 species
CAAGAAACAAAAUUGUCAGGAAAAUACUUAGCAUAUUACCUAGCUUUUGGGAAAGCAAAGUUAAUGCCAUCACUGUCACGACCCAAACAGAUGGGCUGCGACGGGUACCCGGUACUUUACUCGACCGAGUACCAACUUAACGUAUCUUUCAUAUCAUUCUAUAAUAGGUAAAUGGACCGGAGUGAAGCACGAGGGAAUACAAACUUAUACAUAUGAGGUACGGGCAUAUAAGACCAAAAUAACCACUCGUGUACUGAAUAUGGGCCGUCAAGGCGAUACAAUCUUUUACGUACAUGACAUCUGUCUACAAGCCUCGAAGAAUACAUAAUUUUCAUAAAGGUCGGGACAGAGUCUUGCAAUACCAAACAAUACACGUCUAAAUCAUGCUAACCAAACAAGCAACUCCGAAGCAAAUGACGCACACCAACAUCUUCCGCUGAAAUGGUAGCCUGCUUGGAGGGCUCUCAACCAGUCUAUUGGGACCUGCGGGCAUGAAACGCAACGUCCCCAUGCAAAAGGGAUGUCAGUACGAAUAAUGUACUGAGUAUGUAAGACACAUAAAUAAGUACAUAACAGACAUGGAAGAAAUAUAGAGUAAAUAAAUCAACCUGUAAGUCUGGAAAACUUUGUAAAUCAUGAAAUACUUAUGGUGUCAUGCAUAUACAUAUGAAUGUAAUGUUGUGCAUAUGUACAUGUUUCAUAACAUCAUCAGUCUCUGAGGGCAUCCCAUCAUAUCAUUUCGGCCACUGUGGGCAAAAUCACUAACGUAUACUAGCUGAUAAGAUGGUGGUGCGUAUAUAACACUGUAACCUUUUCCCAUAUCCUAUAUAUAUACAUAUAUACAUAUAUAUAUAUGCGUAUAUAAUGCCGUCUGAGUCAUGGGUCAAUGAACAUGUAUAAAUGCAUGAAAUGCAUAAGAAAUACAUUAAUAAGAUUUUCUCGGAAUGCCAUAAAACUCAAUAUGACUUUCGGAUAAACUUUAUCAAAUACGUAUUUUUUGAGACCCAUGAACAGAUGAUAGAGUAAUAGGACACAUGGGGAAUCAAAAACAUUAGCACUUCUAGUAUUUCUAUGAAUAGAAUCAUUUAUGAAAGCUGUGCAUUUGCUCGUUUUAUUUGUAUCGUAUGGAUUAUCCUAAAAGAAAGAAAGGGAUAGCCUUAACAUACGUGAAUCGAUUUUCUUGAGAAAGAUUGCAUUGCACUUCCUUAAAAUUAGAAAAUCUCAUGUUGCUAAGGUGCUAAGGAAUUUCGUUAAAAUCUCGUUGGAUUCACGUUGCUAACGUUGGAUCAUUGUAUGAAUUGGAGAAGUCUUAUGAAAUUCCUCACGUUACUUUGAGUUGGAGAAGUCUUAUGAAAUUUCUCAAAGUUGUGAGCUUCUCCAGCAGUAACCUUGAGUUCUUGAUUCAAACAUCCCUUUCUUAAUUCUUUAAAAUGUCUUUACUAAGUGGGUGUGGCCCCCAUAUCUUUGAUGACUAAGUCCCAUGAUUUACCUAAAUAAGACACCUUGGCAUGUGACUGAUGAGUCAUUUAUUCAAGACCUCUAUGGCUGCCACCUUUUAGCUUAUCCAUCCUCAACCAAUCAACCAAUCAACCACCAAAAUCUUAGUUAAUUAUUAAUCCCCCAUUAAUCAAUAAUUACCCAAUUAUCCACAUAAUUAAGAAUUAUCUCAAACUACUUAAAAUACUACUCACUUUUAACACACCUUUUACACCUUACUAUCAUGGUCAUGUAGUACCUUGUAUGACACUAGUCCAUAAAUACCAGGUAUUAACGCUCAGCCAGUAUAUUAUCCCAACAUGCCAAAUGUGGACGAAAAUUCAUUUUCUUUGACUUGCUUCCCCUCUCAUCUUUAAGAAUUUACUCAUCACUUGUAAAAUAACAUAAUCCUUAUAAAUUCCAAAAACGUACAAUUCUACAGGGUGUAACAUCAUCGUAAUUUAAUAAUGUGAAGCAUAACAUCAUCGUAAUAUAAUACUACAAGGCGUAACAUCAUCGUAAUAUAAUACUUCAGGAUGUAGCAUCAUCGUAAUAUAAUAUUGCAGGAUGUAAUAUUAUCGUAAUAUAAUACUGCAAGACGUAAUAUCAGUGUAAUUUUGCGGGGCGUAACAUCAUUCCCCCCUUUGGAACAUUUGUCCUCGAAUGUUGACUAAUGCUCUUAUCAUUUUCAUAACUUAUAGCUCUUGUGAAUACCUUAAUACUCUCCUUGCCAUUUAGGCAGUUGUUCUAUGAAUAAAUCCAAAGGCCAGGGCAUUCCCCCCUUUACGUCUCUUUCUCACGACACGACUUGUGUCCUGAAUUCUUCCAAUCUCGUAACUGUUGCUACCUUCUUUCAUGUAGCCUGUACGAUUCUAACCUUGUAAGUAUGCCCAUGCGAUCCUCUCUCCUUUUUCCUCCAACUUUUAGCCAAUCUUUAGGGCUCACUUUGUGAACAUAUACAGAUCUUGGUGAGAUGUCCCUCUGGGCAUCUAUAAGUAUACUGAAAUUCUUUGCUCGAUAUUUUGUCGAAUUUACGAAUAUUGCUAUAUCUUAUUUCAUAGACUCGAUUAUCCAUUCGUAUGGCUUUACUGCAUCUAAGUAGGUUAGUAUACCAUCUCUCUUACUUCGAUUUGUCGUUACUAAGGUCUGCGAUCAAACUCCAGGUUACUUUCUUUGCUUAUCCUAUAUGCAUAAGGCUAAGUCCUUUAAUGUUUCCUCAUUACUAUUCAUCUCAAGAAUUACGACCUAAUCUCUGCUCAUACUUUGUGACUUUUGUCCAUCCAUUAUGAUUUGCCUUAAUAUUGAUCUACAAUAUACCAUUGAUAACUUGAAACUUCUUACGUAAUACCUUGCCACUAGGACUUACGUUAUAUCGACGAAUAUUUGAAGUGAUUCCCAUAAUCGUAUUUCAUAGCAUCCCAAUGUGAUUCACCCUAUGUGGGUAUUUAUUCCUGUGCAACUCAUGAAAUCCCCUUUUUUUGUAUUUUUGUUUUCAAAUCAUUAAUCAAUCCCCAAAUGUUAUCCUUUACUUAUCACAGUUACACCCUCAUUCCAUUAACAUGGCAACAUUCCAUUUCUUCAAAAUGCUAUUAGUCUUAGAUUCCUUUGAGUUCAUUCAGGCUAUACUGAACUUUCUAUAACUUAGAUAAACCAUUAGCUCUCUUGUUUUCAUGGACAUAAUCCCGAGAACUUAUCCAUUCUCGUCCCCUUUUCAUUUGCCUUUCCUUAUCCUUACUUAUGUCUUCUUAAAACUUUGUCGCUCUACCAUACUUUAGCUUGCGACCUAUACAUAUCCAUUUAUACUACUCGCAACCUUCCUUCAACUUGCUUGCACCAUAGAUUUUCUUAUGUUAUUCUGGAACGUCAAGCGAGACAUCACAUCAUCUUUAACUCUUCUCUACUCUCUUAACUAGACCUCUCGGUACUUAGAAACCAUAGGCUGGAAGACAUGCCACUGACGAUGCCGCUAUCAUUCCUAGUUAUUGAAAUCCCGCAUCAUAUCUUUCUCUCCUUCAUAACCUCCCCUCCACAUAGGUAUGAUUCACACUACAACUUGAAGCUCUAUUAUAAUACUACAAUCCGGUGGGAACUUCGAAAUGACUUCUUAUGAGGCUGUUACUUUUUUAACUGGCUUUAUCGUAGAGCUAUUAUAGAAUAUGGCUGCUGUACUAUCUUUCGUGUACCUCUGAUAUUUAAAAGGUAAUCCUGCAAUGUUCUCAAUCACGAAUUCUAUAAUUUUCUGGGUCCAAUAGUCAGAUUCCUGAUUUACUUCAUUGAUGUAACUCUUUAGUUUCCUCGUUCUUCUGAUCAGCCUUUACGUCGGCUUAAGUUAUCUCCCGAUCUGUGGUCCAUAGUAUUAGUUAUUCUGUUUACCCUUUCAUGGGCGAUGAGGAAUAUGCAUGAUACAAUCCUUUAACAAUUGAAUCCUUCGUUUAUGACCUGGGCUCAAUUCCUUCCUUUAACGUAUACCAGAAUCUUCUAUGGUUGAAUAUGCUGCAUGUAUAAAACUCUGAACCCGUAUGUGCGUUCAUAACAUAACCGACUCUGGAUCAUUGGUCGAAUAAUUUCUUUCGUUCCAUCUUAAAUCUCUUUCAGCGUAAGCUAUUACUUUUCAUGGUAUUUCUGCCCCUUUGUUACGUCAUACUUAGUUUAUCUUAGUGCCCACACAUAUUGGAAUUCCAUACAACCCAUAUGAUCUUGAAUAUCAUCCUUUGAUUCUUUUUUUCUUCCCGUUUAUUAGCCACGAUAGGUUCCACUUUCUUAUGGAGUCCAUACAAUGUUGUUGUGGGACUAUUGUUAUAUGAUCAUUUCCUUUUUAGGUCAUUAUGCUUAGGUUGAAGCCUUCUUCCUUAAUUCCUCAACUUAGCCUUUCAUUGUAGUACUUAGGGAGAAUCCUCUGACUCUUGUAAAGCAGUGAGCUUAUUAUAUUUUAUAUUCAACGGACCUUCUGAUGUCCUUCCUUGCCUAUACUUAUCCGUAGUUACUUAUCUCUAUGCCCUUGUGCUUGUGGGGUUGCUUCUGAACUGACAUUUUGACUGUCUUCCGAGUGGCACUCUCUUUUAUCCCCAUAAAAAUCAUACGGUACCUUUAAUUACCUCGACUCCUAUUUAAAUAUAUCUCAAGUGUUAUAAUGACAUUACUACGAGGCUGAAUUCUCCAUGUUGAGGUUUACUAUAUUUAUCUUGCAUGAUCUGCUGAUUUGUCUGUAACUUCUUGUCUAGUCAUGACUAGGUUCUUCCCGAAUCAACUACUAAAUACUCGUUGGUCCAUUCCCAUAUCCAGAUUCCGCGUAAUCUUUCUUGGAUUAUUUCAUUGUCUUAACUUAUCUCACGUAUUGGCUCUUUAUCUAUCAAUAACAUCCCGGGCAAGAACCCUUACUUCCUUUUUUUUUGACGUUGUGCUUGCAUAACGUUCUAGAAUCAUAGCAUAUCUGUAACAUUUGGAUAAGUGCAAUCUCAUCCCGUUCUCAUUUUUAUCACAUUCUUCCUUUAUCAUUCCAUAUUCCCUCCUUUUGGGGAGUACUAAAACUUGGAGCUAUGACGACCCGCCUACAGAUAUUUUUCCUCUUUAUCUUUGGCGUCCUUUCACAUCAUCCAUGACCCUUACUCGCCUUGCGGUAAUCCUUCAGUACCAAGGAUAACAAAAUUCCUCACUCGCGAAAGUGACACUUAGUGUAAGUUGUCACACCUCCUUUUUUAUACACCCGAAGGUAGUACAAGGGAGUUUUUCCAAUUUAAGUGACAUUAUUCGAAAUGGAAUUAUUUAUUUAUUUUAUUCAAAGUCGCCACUUGGGAUGGUUUGUUUUUGGGUGUCCCAAGUCACCGGUUUAUUUUAGAUCCAAAAUCGAGGAAAAUUCGACUUUCCUUUUGAAGUCUGCGAAUCAGAAAUUCUAAGUAAGGAAUUCUGUUAACCCGGGAGAAGGUGUUAGGCAUUCCCAGAUUCCGUGGUUCUAGCACGGUCGCUUAAACUAUUAUAAUUGACCUAUUAUCUAAUUUUAAUACAUGUUUUAGCCUAUGGUGCAUUUUUAACUUAUUAGCCGCUUUUAAUUAAUUUUAGGAAGUUUCAACGUUAUCUAAAACACAUCUUGAACCACGCCACAUGAAAUGCACCCGCGGUCCAUGAUACAUUUUAUUUAACGUUGUUGAGAAUUGGAGUUGGGUCACAUGAAAUGCACACCCGAGUUUAGGAAAUUAAUUUUAAAAUAGCGCACCUAAAACAACUACGCGCUUUCAGGUUAAUAACAAGGUUUGCGAGGGCCAUGGAAAAUUCAAUUAAUGACACACCUCGAUUUCUAAAGAGUUAAAAAUUAAUUAAGUGAGGUCCAUGGGUUUUGAGAUUUUUAUUUGGCAUGGCACGCCUCGAAUUAUUUCAAAAGAUUUUAUUCAACUAAAGCAAACUGCGGACGUCCAUAAAUAUUAUUUCUAAACUAAUUUGAAAUUAUUGUGAAUGCCAUAACUUGCAUAAGUUCAAUUGCCACCAAAAAAUUAAUUUAAACCUAUAUAAAAAAAAAUUAAAUCUUGCAUAAAAUAAUGCUAACAAUUAAUCAAAACUAGAUACUAGAGAGUCACUACAACUUUGGAUUAGCGAGAUUACCGGCAUCUGAAUCAAAGUAAUACAAACCAAAUAAUUAUAACAAAUAUUGGAAAUUAAAAAAAAAACACAUAAAACAAACAUGAAAAGAUCCAAAUGUGGAUUAAAACAAAAGGAAUUAACAAGUUUUAAAAAAAACAGACCUUACGUAUCAAAUCAGGCAGUCAUCAAUCAAAUAACAAUCCAAUGUGUCUUUGUACUGAUAGAUAUAAAUUUGAAUUACAGCAACUGGUCAUUUUUAAACCGGAAUAUUUGCCGGCGACUUCAACUGGAACCAACAAUCGGAGCUCGACGGACUCAACCUCAAUCAACCUCUCGUUACCCUUUAAUGUUUACUGUUGUAUGUCAAAAGAAAGGCUGUUUUGAGGCAUGUUUGGAUUAAUUUUUUUUACUGUUUCCAUGGAGUUUUCGGCUGGAAUGUUGGAGGUAUUUUGGAGCUGGUUUUCCUGGGUUUAAGUGGGUGUUUUCGGGAAGGUUCUUGGGAGAUGAAGAAGAUUAGAGUGUCGUUCACAAAACUUUUCGAAUCGCUGAUCCGUGUGGUGUGCGACGAAGAAGAUGAGGUUCCGGGGGUGGUUCUAGGUCUGCGGCAGUCAGAUCUGCGUUCCUGCAGCUGUCCGCUUUUUCCCUAAGUCAGCCUUUUGGUUUUGUAUAUUUUUUUUGUGUUUUAGCUGAUAGGCGUUGGCUUCUUUAUACAAAACGGCUGAUUGUGUUUUAUAAGUGUCUAGGUCAAUUUAGGUAUUAGGUACUAUUAUAUAGGGGUAGAGCUUAGGUUAGGGGUAUGAGUCUAG